rnacentral:rRNA from 1 species
AACGAACGCUGGCGGCAUGCCUAACACAUGCAAGUCGAACGAAGGCUUCGGCCUUAGUGGCGCACGGGUGCGUAACGCGUGGGAAUCUGCCCCUCGGUUCGGAAUAACAGUUAGAAAUGACUGCUAAUACCGGAUGAUGGCUUCGGUCCAAAGAUUUAUCGCCGAGGGAUGAGCCCGCGUAAGAUUAGGUAGUUGGGGGGGUAAAGGCCUACCAAGCCGACGAUCUUUAGCUGGUCUGAGAUGAUGAUCAGCCACACUGGGACUGAGACACGGCCCAGUCUACUGCGCGCGGCAGCGGUGGGGAAUAUUGGACGAGGGGCGAAAGCCUGAUCCAGCAAUGCCGCGUGAGUGAUGAAGGCCUUAGGGUUGUAAAGCCCUUUUACCAGGUAUGAUACUGACAGUACCUGGAGAAUAAGCUCCGGCUAACUCCGUGCCAGCCGCCGCCGUAA